GAGGGCAGGCAGUGCCCCAGUCAAGCUUUCUGCAGAAACAACUGGGUUGAGGAAGAAGCAGAAUGAAAGCUACAGCAACAGUCAAAAAAGGAAGCCCUGGUUGGACCAAAGUCAACAGCAGUGGCUGAAGACACAACCUGACAUGUGAGGGUCGAAGCUGAGUGCAGGCAUAGAUGUACUUGGGUGAUGAGGUGCAGCAAGUGACAGAGCUAGAACAUCACAAAUCCCUGCUCCUGGUUUCAAGAGUGCUGCCUGACCCAAAGGAAGAUACACCCAAGGAAGCAGCCACCAAAUUCUGUGACAAUUUCACGUGGUACACAAGAGGGAACUCUGCCCUGGGCAGUAGAAACCAAAUGUAAAAGGAAUGAGUUUUCAAGUGGAAAUUUAAUACAACUAAUUAAUGAACUCCUCCUUUGGCCUUGAAUGAAGAUGAUGUUAAACAGAGCUGUGAUUGAGCUGCGGAGAGAUGUGGUUAAGUUGUGUCACCUCCACCUCCAGAAGAAGUUGGCUAGGAUCUUGUGCCCCCAGCCCCUCAGUCUUGUUUUCCAGAAGCAUUAAGAGCAUGCAAGAUGGUGAUACCAAACUCCUGGACACUGCAUGGUGCACGCCUGAAGGGACAGAAGGCAUUCAGGCACCCAGCCUGUGACUCCUACCAAGGUGCCUGCAAGUUUUGGAUGAAAAUUACAUUGAGCUGAGGGGGUUUUUAAUCUAUUACACCCAGAGAGGGAAAACUAAAGAAGAUUAUGAGCAGACAAAAGAUGUAAAGGUUCACACUGAGGCCCUCAGUUUCAAAACCGUGUGCACGUUUCUGCACCUAAUGUAUAUGCAUAUUUAUUGUGACUGCAUAUGGAAAUGGAGCAUCCAUGCCAACAGUUUUACAGCUAACAGGCUUUUUGCAUGUGUCUGCCUUACAAGGCACUUUCUUGAAAGGCACCGGAAGAAGGGAAGGAAAAUGAUGUUAUCCCAUGAAAUAAUCUACUACUAUUUGUGCAGAGUAAAUGUUGAAUUGUGUUGAAGUCAAUGAGAAACUUUCACGGUCUGGCUGCAGGCUUCGCUGGCUGACACUGUUUGUCCAUGAAAAUGUUAUGAACCUCAAACACUGAGCUACACUGGUGCACCUGGAGAUCCAGGCUUGAAGCUAGCAAGCAGGUUCAUCAUUCCCAGCACAACUUCCCAUCCACUGACACAGCUGUUGUCCUCCGCCUGGUAUUUUCCCUUUGCUGUCAGACUUUUGCACAAAGGGGGUUGAAAAGUUAUUACUGUGCCACUCCUUUAGCAGUCAAAAGAGCUCCUACUGGGCAGAAGGCAAGUGUUUGGAAACCAGUGCUUAAAAAAUGAAUGCUCCCCAUAUGAAUUCUUUCUCCACUAUGAAACACCUGAAGCCUUCCUGGCUCCUGCUUCAUUUCUUGAACAAGGGUCGUGGGGAGAGGAAAGUCAGUGCAAACUGUGCUCCAGCAGGACCGGGCUUUCAGAGGCUUUCUAAGAGAAGUCCAGCCAGCACAAAUUAAAGCAGCACUGUGAGCCCUGGCCCACACUACCUCAGUGCCUGUAUUCAAGGAUGAUCAUGCUCACCUUGACUGUUAGGAAAUACUGCUGACCUAAUGCCCAGGUCUCUUUGGUGAGCUGCAAGGCAUUAGCUGUUCCUAUUCAAUCACACUUCCAUGUACCCAGUACAUUAGGAUAUGCGCAAAUGCCUAUUGCCACUUUUUGGUUGACUGCAAGCUAUAUCCUCCCUCAGAUUUCAUCAGGAUUUUCUCUGCUUAGUAGAUGUUUUAUUGCCCUUAUUAUGAAGUCCAGUUGCUGUGUGAUGUCAGAUAGUAGUUACAUUAGUUUGGGGCUUUUUUUGCAGGCUCCUUUGCCAGUUUUCAGGUACUUGCUUCCUGUCUGAGUCGAUUGGCUACCUUAAUUUUUGGUACUUAAUGUUGUAGCAGCUGUGUGGCUUUAUGUGUGUGUGCAUGAAAACAAGCACACCCCCCCCACACCCCCCCAAAACGUCUUUUUCUGGCUGAAACCCAUCUAAAGAAAGAAAGAAAAAAAAGUAAGUAAAUGUCUAUUCAACAGGGCAAUAGUUGCCUCAGAAUUUAAUUACAGCCUGAGUUAUCUGGUGUUCUAAAUUGCUGUCCCAUCCUACAUCAAGACCUGGUGGACUUACAAGGAAGAUAAAGCCCCUCCAUGUAGCUUUUACCUGCUAAUAGCAUUUCUAUCAUUGCAAUAUCUGGCAAGAGAGUCAAGCACCACAUUUUCCCAAAGGUAUGUAAAGCAUGUAGGGCUGACGGAAAGAUUAACAAGUUUUCUGUGGAAGGAGCAUACAUCUGCCAGGGUGAGGAGGGCCUUCACUGAUGUGCCACUUGUAAAUGCAUAUGAACUCUGUAAUAGGUGCAGUGCUUUCCCUCAACAGCUGCAAUCUUUUCAUUGUACCUCUUUUGUUGAAUUCAGAUAAAAGCACUUCAUCGUCAACAAAUCUAAUAUCUGUUCUUGUCCCACUUGAAAGGGUCAAAUGAAAUUUCCCACCAGAGAACAAAAACCCUGAAGCUCCCUAGUGAGUUUGGGUGGCAACGUGCCAAGAGAGAGGGGAGGAGAGGUAGUGUCUGCAGUGUCUCGGCAGAGCAAUAAUGUCAAGAAGCUUGAAAAGCACUCUCCAGGCUUGCACGCAGUCUCACAGCAAGAGCGGCAGGGACAGCAUGGCAGCCAGACAGGAGCUAGGAAAUUACUUCUCUCCUGAGCUGCUGGGGCGCAGUCUCCUCCUCAAACACUCAUGUCCAAGUGACCAGAUGAAGCUAUGUGGGGUUCCUGUUU